rnacentral:tRNA from 1 species
CCAAAGUGCAAAUUUGGAGACGCACCACAGAGGUGCCGGGGCUUCUCCCGUUU